AUUCUUCGGAUGAUUGAUCGGUGACUGAGUGGCGGACGGGUGAGUAACGCGUGGGUAACCUGCCCUGUACAGGGGGAUAACAGUUGGAAACGGCUGCUAAUACCGCAUAAGCGCACGAGAGGACAUCCUCUUGUGUGAAAAACUCCGGUGGUACAGGAUGGACCCGCGUCUGAUUAGCUAGUUGGUGAGGUAACGGCUUACCAAGGCAACGAUCAGUAGCCGGUCUGAGAGGAUGAACGGCCACAUUGGAACUGAGACACGGUCCAAACUCC
rnacentral:rRNA from 1 species